rnacentral:rRNA from 1 species
GACGAACGCUGGCGGCGUGCUUAACACAUGCAAGUCGAACGAAAAGAGGGAAAGAGCUUGCUCUUUCCGGAAUUGAGUGGCAAACGGGUGAGUAACACGUAAACAACCUGCCUUCAGGAUGGGGACAACAGACGGAAACGACUGCUAAUACCGAAUAAGUUCCAAGGGCCGCAUGGCCCAUGGAAGAAAAGGUGGCCUCUACCUGUAAGCUAUCGCCUGAAGAGGGGUUUGCGUCUGAUUAGCUGGUUGGAGGGGUAACGGCCCACCAAGGCGACGAUCAGUAGCCGGUCUGAGAGGAUGAACGGCCACACUGGAACUGAGACACGGUCCAGACUCCUACGGGAGGCAGCAGUGGGGAAUCUUCCGCAAUGGGCGAAAGCCUGGCGGAGCAACGCCGCGUGAGUGGUGACGGCCUUCGGGUUGUAAAACUCUGUGAUCCGGGACGAAAAGGCAGAGUGCGAAGAACAAACUGCAUUGACGGUACCGGAAAAGCAAGCCACGGCUAACUACGUG